GUACGCUUGUUCAAAUUUUACGGUACUUUAUUCCCCUAAAAGUAUAUUUUUUAAUGUAAGCUGUAUCAGUAUUCCACAAAUUGCAUAGUUAUUACAUUGUAAUUAAACUACAACAUGGGCAACCUCUCAUCAAAAUAGAUCGAUCCAUUAAAGCCCGGCCCAAUAUCUUAACCAAUUACAGUGGUGUGAUGUCCGACAUGCGCGUACGCGCGUAUAUAGACGCGCGGAUGAAAACACGCAGUGUGGCAUGGAAGAGGCGCACGUGCUCUUGGCCAAGUGUGCAGUGGGCGUGGCUUAAUAUGGAUUGGUCUGUAACAUCCCUGGUCAGCCAAAGAAGGGUCAAGACAAUGGUGGAUUAGAGAGAGGUCAUUUGUAUUGGUUUUUCAAUGAUGACCACCCCAUAGUUCACGAUUCAUCGCUUGAUAAAGCCAUAAACUACAGCAAGACGUACGCACCCUUCCCCCCCCCC